rnacentral:rRNA from 1 species
CCUACGGGUGGCAGCAGUGAGGAAUAUUGGUCAAUGGACGAGAGUCUGAACCAGCCAAGUAGCGUGAAGGAUGACUGCCCUAUGGGUUGUAAACUUCUUUUAUAUGGGAAUAAAAUGUUCCACGUGUGGGAUUUUGUAUGUACCAUAUGAAUAAGGAUCGGCUAACUCCGUGCCAGCAGCCGCGGUAAUACGGAGGAUCCGAGCGUUAUCCGGAUUUAUUGGGUUUAAAGGGAGCGUAGGUGGAUUGUUAAGUCAGUUGUGAAAGUUUGGGGCUCAACCGUAAAAGUGCAGUUGAAACUGGCAGUCUUGAGUACAGUAGAGGUGGGCGGAAUUCGUGGUGUAGCGGUGAAAUGCUUAGAUAUCACGAAGAACUCCGAUUGCGAAGGCAGUUCACUGGACUGCAACUGACACUGAGGCUCGAAAGUGUGGGUAUCAAACAGGAUUAGAUACCCCAGUAGUC